GAUGAACGCUGGCGGCGUGCCUAAUACAUGCCAGUCGAGCGAACGGACGAGAAGCUUGCUUCUCUGAUGUUAGCGGCGGACGGGUGAGUAACACGUGGAUAACCUACCUAUAAGACUGGGAUAACUUCGGGAAACCGUAGCUAAUACCGGAUAAUAUUUUGAACCGCAUGGUUCAAAAGUGAAAGACGGUCUUGCUGUCACUUAUAGAUGGAUCCGCGCUGCAUUAGCUAGUUGGUAAGGUAACGGCUUACCAAGGCAACGAUGCAUAGCCGACCUGAGAGGGUGAUCGGCCACACUGGAACUGAGACACGGUCCAGACUCCUACGGGAGGCAGCAGUAGGGAUUCUUCCGCAAUGGGCGAAAGCCUGACGGAGCAACGCCGCGUGAGUGAUGAAGGUCUUCGGAUCGUAAAACUCUGUUAUUAGGGAAGAACAUAUGUGUAAGUAACUGUGCACAUCUUGACGGUACCUAAUCAGAAAGCCACGGCUAACUACGUG
rnacentral:rRNA from 1 species